rnacentral:misc_RNA from 1 species
GAAAUGCGAUAAGUAAUGUGAAUUGCAGAAUUCAGUGAAUCAUCGAAUCUUUGAACGCACAUUGCGCCCGCCAGUAUUCUGGCGGGCAUGCCUGUUCGAGCGUCAUUACAACCCUCAGGCCCCCGGGCCUGGCGUUGGGGAUCGGCGGAAGCCCCCUGCGGGCACAACGCCGUCCCCCAAAUACAGUGGCGGUCCCGCCGCAGCUUCCAUUGCGUAGUAGCUAACACCUCGCAAAUGGAGAGCGGCGCGGCCACGCCGUAAAACACCCAACUUCUGAAUGUUGACCUCGAAUCAGGUAGGAAUACCCGCUGAACUUAAGC